rnacentral:rRNA from 1 species
GACGAACGCUGGCGGCGUGCCUAAUACAUGCAAGUCGAACGCACAGUUUAUACCGUAGCUUGCUACACCAUAGACUGUGAGUUGCGAACGGGUGAGUAACGCGUAGGUAACCUGCCUGGUAGCGGGGGAUAACUAUUGGAAACGAUAGCUAAUACCGCAUAAUAUUGAUUAUUGCAUGAUAAUUGAUUGAAAGCUGCUAUUGCAUCACUACCAGAUGGACCUGCGUUGUAUUAGCUAGUAGGUGAGGUAACGGCUCACCUAGGCGACGAUACAUAGCCGACCUGAGAGGGUGAUCGGCCACACUGGGACUGAGACACGGCCCAGACUCCUACGGGAGGCAGCAGUAGGGAAUCUUCGGCAAUGGACGAAAGUCUGACCGAGCAACGCCGCGGGAGUGAAGAAGGGUGUCGGAUCGUAAAGCUCUGUUGUAAGAGAAGAACGGGUGUGAGAGUGGAAAGUUCACACUGUGACGGUAGCUUACCAGAAAGGGACGGCUAACUACGUG